rnacentral:rRNA from 1 species
CCUACGGGAGGCUGCAGUGAGGAAUAUUGGUCAAUGGGCGAGAGCCUGACCCAGCCAAGUCGCGUGAGUGAAGACCGUCCUACGGAUUGUAAACCUCUUUUGUCAGGGAGCAAGGAGCGCCACGAGUGGUGCGGCUAGAGUACCUGACGAAAAAGCAUCGGCGAACUCCGUGCCAGCAGACGCGGUAAUCCGGAGGAUGCGAGCGUUAUCCGGAUUUAUUGGGUUUAAAGGGUGCGCAGGCGGAAGCGGCACGUCAGCGGUAAAAUUGCGGGGCUCAACCUCGCCGAUCCGUUGAAACUGCUCUUCGAGAGUGGGCGAGAAGGAUGCGGAAUGCGUGGUGUAGCGGUGAAAGGCAUAGAUAUCACGCAGAACUCCGAUUGCGAAGGCAGAAGACCGGCGCCCAACUGAAGCUCAUGCACGAAAGCGUGGGUAUCGAACAGGAGGAGAUACCCCAGUAGGC